AACGGUUUUUGUUUCAACCGUUGUAAUUGAAGCUGUAAAAAAAAAAACAGGGAGUGAACAGUGACUCAAUAUUUUUUCUUAAGGCCCGAUAGUUGUCAUUCUCUCUUCUAUCUCGUCUCUGGCGUCUCCCUCUCUCCACAGUCUUGUUCUUCCCACCUCGUCUCCUUGCCUUUGCCACGGCCAUAGACAGAGAGACUCUGUCUCUCGCGUCUCACUCUCUCUCUCUCUCUCUCUCUCUCUCUCUCUCGUCUCUCUCUCGUCUCUUUCUCUCUCUUCCCUCCUAGUUCAGAGAGAUUUGGGUUUUAAUUUUAGGGUUACUGAUUUGGGUUUUAAUCUAACCAUUUGGGUGUUGGCUUGUGGUCGCUCUCCCUCGAUCAACAAAGGUGCUUAGCUUUUCCAUCUCUCUUGCCCUCUACGGCUGUUGCUGUACACAGAUGAUAAAUUUUUAGGAGAAAUGGAGACUUAAAGAGAGAAGUUAUGGAUCUGAUAAGGGUUUAGGGUUUACUAUCUCUAAUUUUUGGAUCCUAAUGGAAUUUCUUUGAUUACAUAUGUUGUUUCUCCAAAACACCAAUGAAG